rnacentral:ncRNA from 2 species
AAAAUCACCAAUCUUUCAGGCGCUCAUUGAGCUUAAUUGGGAACUCCCGUGAAAAUCGGGGACGGGCCCACCGCUGUAAUCGGGGACGAACACCGUAUGAUGUCACUGUCUAAAAUGGAUGGGAAGGCACGGUUAGUAGGAUGAUCCGAAAGUCAGAAGACCUGCCAGAAAGAUUAUAUUUGC